GUGAUUUAAUUGGUAAUUUGGUCGACAUUUUGACAAUUAUAUUUAGCAAUAUUUCGAUAAAUGCGGACCUGCUUCUUCCUCUUUUCGUAGUGACGGUGUUUCGAUAACUCAGUUAGACUUCGAGAUCUACAUUUUCGACAAAGGCCUGGUGUAAAUUACGUACUUAAUGAAGGUUUAAUGACACGAAUGAGUACAAGUACAUUACAUUUUUCGACGAAGGCCUUCUGUAAUUUCAUACGCUUCUUACGCAACAUUCAAUAGAUUUAUUUACUGUAUUAUCAUUUCGACCAAGGCGAAUUCGACACUUCAAUUACACAAGCACAAUCAAACUUAGUCAUUCCAGUCAGUUACUGAAGCACAGCGAAAACUGUCUGAAUUAGUGCUGCUGAUGGCAUGUAAUUACUCUACUACCACUACCAGUGACAGUCAAUGUCCAUAUAUUUUCAAGUGUGCGAAAUUAGUACUCGUCUACUUCUUAGUGUUAUUUGAAUGCAAUGUAUGUUAUAAAAAUAUUUUUUCAACACUAUAUCAACAUUCUCAUUCCUGUCAGUUUCUGAAAAUCAGCUAAAGCAAUCGCUACCAAUGCAGCUGAUAACAGCAAUUCUUUUUGUUCCCAAUGCCCAUCCAUGACAAUAUAUUUCACGCAUGUGACAAGCAUGUGACAAUCAUGUAAUCGUCCUGUUUUUUGUGUUCUAUUCAUGCAAUAAAUAAAUUCAGUAUUUUCAAAUCAUUGGUGCUACAAAACUAUUCUCAUUAUAGAUUAUUCAUAUUUUAUAAAAUGCUGUCAUGUCAAAUUUUGUGUCCUAUAAAUCAUUAUGAAGUCGGCAUUUUAUAUACAACUUUUGUACUCCUCCUAAAUAAACAUACAAAUCUUGUUUUAUGUAAACUUUGUAUAUGUGACCCGUCACAGCAAAACCAGGCGCAUGUCGCUCUGAGCUUGGCAGGUUGAGACGGACUGUUUGUUCAUUUAUCUAUUGUCUGCCUUUUGUAAAAUAUGAGCACAUCAAUUUCUUCCAUUAUCUCCUGGUGUCAUUUAGGCUCAUCUUCUGUGCGACAUGUACCUGGUUUUGCUGUGACGGGUCACAUAUUCUAUAGAUAUACAACACUCUAAUGUCACAAUGCCUCUCUCACUCGCUUUUAUAUAGCAAGAUGUAUGAAUAAACAUGACACACCAACUAUGUACAAAAUUGCUAACAAACUGCACCAUUUGUCAGUACACCACAUGAAAUACAGAGAUAUGUCUUAAUUCUAAUCUUUCAUUAGCGACACCAUUUCUUACCCGAGUGCCUCCUUCAUUCAUACAUCUUGUACUUUAACUCAAGAUACCCAUCUUUGAAUAUUUUUAGUAUACCAAGUACUACAAUGUCAAUGUAUUGAAGUCAUGUUCUUGUAGUGUUAUUGGCUUUCUAUUAUCUUGUCAAAAUACCACUUGGUUCUCGCAAAAUCUCAAUAAAAACAAAUGCUAUUGCAUGUAUUGCAUAUUCUAACAGCUAUCCACUGUAUCGAUUUAUCCAUCAUCUGUACUAUUUGUCACAAAAAUGUUAUAUUAUGUAAAUCAUAUUUCAUUACAUAAUGCACACUGCCAAUUACUGCUGAACCAUUCAUAUGUCAUUUAAAUAAAUAAUUUUCAACUUUUUAAAACCGUCUUAUAGUACUGUUCUUGUCACUUAGCUGAACCAAUUGCUCUAUAGCAUGAAAUUUCCAGAAAUGCCCCAGGGACUGAAAAGUGCUGUUUUAACAGAGAGGUGUCCUAAACUGAGAAGUCGAGUUGAAUGGAAACAACCAAUUUGGAACCAAAAACUACUGUCCUUAUUAAAGAGGUUGUCCUCAAUAGAAAGGUGUCCACAAAAAGUAGGUCCACUGUAUAUGAAAGUACAAACCCUGGUACAUGUAGUGACAUCAUCUACUCCUCGAUGUGGACACCUGCAAAUGCAGCGACAAUGUCACAUCAGUUAUUUAAUUCAUCGUCCUUUGUGCAGAUGGCACCACCCAUCAAGCAUGUUGGUGACGAAUAGUGUCGCAGCAUUUCGUCACCGAGCUUACAAGAAAAUGCACUGUAAUUCAUUCAGCCAUAAGUGCAAGACUGUAGGGUUGUUUCCAACCAAAACAUGUUCGAAAUGUGUCAAGCAUUCGGAACACCCAAAGACUGAUUAGAGAAGUCAAAAUUGAAUGGAAACAACCAAUUUGGGACCAAAACCAGUGUCCUUAUUGGAAAGGUUGUCUUUAAUAGAGAGGUGUCUACUAACGGAGGUUCCACUGUACAUAAUGUAGGAACCCUGGUUGUGACAUUGUCCACUCCUCCAGCUGCACACCACCAAAUCCACAACAAUGUCACACCAGUUAUUUAGUUCAUCA